GAGCCUGGCCAAAUCAGUUAAUUAUAUUAGUAUUUACGUGGUCUUAAGAUCUUAGCUUGAUUAACCAAAUGUGAUUUGUCAAAAUUGACAACUGGAAAGGAAGGCCAAGAAUCUGAAAGAAAGACCAGAGUUUAUGCAGAAACUGGAACAGCAGAAAAAUUCCAGAAACAUGAUUUGGAGAGAAUAGAAGAGGGAUUUCCUCAGCUGAAUCUGGAGGAAGAGCAGGGACAAUGUGUAGAAAUGCGUCUGGGCACAACUCUCUUCAAAAUUCAAGACUUUCCAAAGGAAACCCCCUUGAUGGACAGGACUCCAGACAGAAGUAAACUGUGCUGCAACCUCAAGACAGAGCCAAGGAAGAGGAUCUUCCAAGCACAUUCAGUUUUAUGGUAAGUGGCUUAGUGAUCUCCCAACAACCUAC